rnacentral:tRNA from 1 species
AGUUAUGUAGUUUGGUUGGUUAAACCGCCGGUCUAGCGCACGGAGUUGUGAGUUCGAGUCUCACUAUAACGG